rnacentral:tRNA from 1 species
UCGAAAACCGAAGGCUAAGNAUCUUCUCAAGGU